rnacentral:rRNA from 1 species
AUUGAACGCUGGCGGUAGGCCUAACACAUGCAAGUCGAACGGCAGCACAGGAGAGCUUGCUCUCUGGGUGGCGAGUGGCGGACGGGUGAGGAAUACAUCGGAAUCUACUCUGUCGUGGGGGAUAACGUAGGGAAACUUACGCUAAUACCGCAUACGACCUACGGGUGAAAGCAGGGGACCUUCGGGCCUUGCGCGAUUGAGUGAGCCGAUGUCGGAUUAGCUAGUUGGCGGGGUAAAGGCCCACCAAGGCGACGAUCCGUAGCUGGUCUGAGAGGAUGAGCAGCCAAACUGGAACUGAGCCACGGUCCAGACUCCGACGGGAGGCAGCAGUGGGGAAUAUUGGACAAUGGGCGCAAGCCUGAUCCAGCCAUACCGGGUGGGUGAAGAAGGCCUUCGGGUUGUAAAGCCCUUUUGUUGGGAAAGAAAUCCAGCUGGCUAAUACCCGGUUGGGAUGACGGUACCCAAAGAAUAAGCACCGGCUAACUUCGUGCCAGCCGCCGCCGUAA